AGGACGAACGCUGGCGGCGUGCUUAACACAUGCAAGUCGAGCGGAAAGGCCCUUCGGGGUACUCGAGCGGCGAACGGGUGAGUAACACGUGAGCAACCUGCCCCUGGCUCUGGGAUAGCCUCCGGAAACGGGGAUUAAUACCGGACAUUCACUUCCUUCCGCAUGGUUGGUGGUGGAAAGUUUUUCGGCCGGGGAGGGGCUCGCGGUCUAUCAGCUUGUUGGCGGGGUAACGCCCACCAAGGCGACGACGGAUAG
rnacentral:rRNA from 1 species